rnacentral:rRNA from 1 species
CGCAUCUGUGCAUGCAGCAUAUCAAUAAGCGGAGGAAAAGAAACUAACAAGGAUUCCCCUAGUAACGGCGAGUGAAGCGGGAAGAGCUCAAAUUUGAAAUCUUAAAGGGUUUCCCUUUACGAAUUGUAGUUUAAAGAAGUGUUUUCUGUUGAGGUUUUGGUAAAAGUUCUUUGGAAUAGGACAUCAUAGAGGGUGAGAAUCCCGUAUUUGACCUUUACUUUCAACUUUGUGAUACACUUUCAAAGAGUCGGAUUGUUUGGGAAUGCAGUCCAAAAUGGGUGGUAAAUUUCAUCUAAAGCUAAAUAUUGGCGAGAGACCGAUAGCGAACAAGUACCGUGAGGGAAAGAUGAAAAGAACUUUGAAAAGAGAGGUUAAACAGUACGUGAAAUUGUCAAAAGGGAAGCGUUUGACACCAGUGUCGUUUUUCUGAAAAUCAAUUAAAGAACUGUUUAUGCUAAGUUGUUUAGACUUUAUCAGCUAUCUGCUUAGUUUUGAGCUUUUCUUUAAUGCACUCUUCAGUUAACAAGUCAACAUCAAUUUCUUUUGACUGUAAAAAAGCUUGAGGAAGGUGGCUUGAGAUUCGUCUUAAGUGUUUAUAGCCUCUUGCCUAUGCAGUCGGAGAGAUUGAGGUCUGCAGCGUAGAUCCUUCGGGGCUAAAUGCAUUUGUGCUAAGUUAUAGCAUUUUAUAGACAACUUGUUGACUAUCGAUUUGUCUUGUAGCUUACUCGCUUAUGUUAUUUUACCUACGCUUAGGAUGUUGAGUCGUAGAGCACGCAG